rnacentral:rRNA from 1 species
AUUGAACGCUGGCGGCAUGCUUUACACAUGCAAGUCGAACGGUAACAGGUUAAGCUGACGAGUGGCGAACGGGUGAGUAAUGCAUCGGAACGUGCCCGAUCGUGGGGGAUAACGCAGCGAAAGCUGCGCUAAUACCGCAUACGAUCUGAGGAUGAAAGCGGGGGACCGUAAGGCCUCGCGCGAUCGGAGCGGCCGAUAUCAGAUGAGGUAGUUGGUGGGGUAAAGGCCCACCAAGCCAACGAUCUGUAGCUUGUCUGAGAGGACGACCAGCCACACUGAAACUGAGACACGGUCCAGACUCCUACGGGAGGCAGCAGUGGGGAAUUUUGGACAAUGGGCGAAAGCCUGAUCCAGCCAUUCCGCGUGCAGGAUGAAGGCCCUCGGGUUGUAAACUGCUUUUGUACAGAACGAAAAGGUUUCUACUAAUACUAGGAGCUCAUGACGGUACUGUAAGAAUAAGCACCGGCUAACUACGUGCCAGCCGCCGCCGUAA